rnacentral:lncRNA from 1 species
UGCUUCAACAUGUUAAACACCUCAUCAUAGUUCAAUUAACAUCUGUCAUUCUCUGCACUGUCAAGAUCAUAUGUGAUGCUAAAUACAUCAUCACCAAUGUGGAGGCCAAGUGGCCUGGAUCAGUCCACGACUCAAGGGUGUUCCGCGAGUCAAACCUGAACGCCAGACUCCAACGUGGUGAGAAGCCUGAAGGUUUGCAGUAUAACUCUCUUGUCUCCCUCCUUUAAUACACUCAUGCAUCCACUCUAUAUUACAGGAGAGUUUGACGGCCUUCUGCUGGGUGACAGGGGUUACCCGUGUCAACUGAGGCUACUGACCCCAUACCCAGACCCUGAACCAGGCCCCCAACAGAACUUCAACCGGGCUCACUGCAGGACGAGAGCCCGGGUGGAGAUGACCAUAGGCCUGCUGAAAGCCCGUUUCCAGUGCCUACGUCACCUCAGGGUGACCCCCGAGAGGGCCUGUGAUAUUAUA